rnacentral:rRNA from 1 species
UUGAAAGGGAAACGAUUGAAGUCAGUCGUACCGACGGAGGAUCAACCUUUGAAAGCGGGUCGAGGUAUUCGAGGAGUUUAAAAGCCCUCUUGCGCUCACGUACUUCGUUUUCUUUGGUGCACUUCUUCGUAUGGUAGGUUAACAUCAAUUUUGGACGUUACAAAAUGAUCGGGGGAAUGUAGCUUCGAUUUUUUCGAAGUGUUAUAGACCUUGGUAGAUGUGACGACCGGGAUUGAGGAUUGCAACGAAUGCUUUCGGGCUAUCCGUCUGACCUCUGGUGGUUGCUUUAGGGUCGAAAGCGUGCUUACGACUUUGGGGUUGGCUAUCAAAAGGCUAGAACGUGAUUAAAUUCGUUAAGGAUGUUGACGUA